UACAGAGGUCCCAAGCGUUGUUCGGAUUCACUGGGCGUAAAGGGUGCGUAGGUGGCUUGGUAAGUUUGAUGUGAAAUCUCCGGGCUUAACCCGGAAAUGGCAUUGAAUACUAUUGAGCUGGAGGUUUGGAGGGGGGACUGGAAUUCUCGGUGUAGCAGUGAAAUGCGUAGAUAUCGAGAGGAACACCAGUGGCGAAGGCGAGUCCCUGGACAACACCUGACAGCUGAGGACGAAAGCAUAGGGGAGCAACAGGAUUAGAACC
rnacentral:rRNA from 1 species